UGAGUAAUAAGGGUGUCUGUGUUUGAGAUGUGUAAUAAAGGAUCGAUCUUGUUGACGAUCAACUUGAGGAGCGAAUGCAAAUCAUCAGUUUACUGUAUUAUUUAUGUUGAGGAAGUUUUCCUGGUCACAAUUAUACUACUAACAUGUUUUGCACCCCAAAAAAACAUGCCACAAAGAAGAGAUCAAUUGCUAGGAGCGCCUAGAAGAAGAAGCUGCUGUAUUUUACUCAAAAGAAAACAACAAAGUAGUUGUUCUGAGGCACUUACAAGUGGGCCCAUUGCUGGGCCUCGAAGAAUCGAUCAUCCACACGCACUUUACAACUUCGCUUUUCUUCGCAUCGCAGCACAGCCAAAACCCUUCUCUUCUCUCUCUCUCGACUCUCGACGACGACGCGGCGGCGGCGGCGGCGAGGUGGGAAUGGACAUGCCGCCCACGCCCCUUCCGCCGGAGACCGCCAACACCUCGCCCGCUCCCAACGGCGCCACCGCCGGAAUCCGGGUUGAGAACUGCUACGUCUUCAAGAGCCGGCUGCAAGAGUAUGCACAGAAAACCGGCCUCCAGACUCCAGAGUAUCAUACCUUCAAGGAGGGACCUUCCCACGAGCCUGUCUUCAAGUCCACAGUGGUGAUUAAUAAUACCAGCUAUGACUCCCUGCCCGGAUUCUUCAACAGAAAGGCUGCAGAACAGUCUGCUGCUGAAGUUGCCCUCAUGGAAAUUGUCAAGUCCAUACCAGCCAACGCAAAUAUCCCAGCUGUUCAAGAGACUGGCCUGUGCAACACAGGAAGUCAGCAACUGAACCUGAGGGAAAUGCACCGAGAAGCUGACCACCACCACCACCUUCUGGCAACCCUUGCACGCCACCGCCGUCUUGCUGCCGCUGCCACCCUCUUCUCCUCCACCCUCCGCACUGCUCGUGCCCUCAACUCCCUCCUCGCUGCUAUCUGCUCUUCCCCAGCGUUCCUCCGCUUUGCCCCUAAAGUCCUCCUGCUCGCUGCCCCAUCAGUCUCCCCUGAUGCCACCACCUUCCACAUCCUCACCUCCACACUCUGCCAGGCCCACCGCCCCGCUGCUGCCGCCGACCUCCUUUGCUGCAUGCCCUCGCUUCUCCUUGACCCUGACCCGGCCAGUUGUCGUGCUGUCCUUUCCUCCCUGUGCCAGUACGCUUCCGCUCAGGAUGCAGUAGCAUUCUUGGACAAGAUGUGCCAUUGGGGCAUUUCCCCAAGCAGAUCUGACUACCACGCCGUCUUCGAAGCGCUUCUGCAGGAGGGAAAGGUAGUGGAGGCAUAUGAGGUCAUGAAGAAUAAGAUGGGCUCUAACAGGGUGGCACCUGCACUUGCAUACUUCAAAUUGACAAUGCAAGCUUUCAGCAAGUGCUUGGAGUUUGAUUCUGUGGAGGAGGUGUUUGAUGAAAUGCUCCUGAGAGGGCUGGUGCCAGACGUGGAUGUGUACAACGUGUACAUUGGCGCGCUAUGCAGGAAAGGUGACCUUGCCAGAGCGCGACAGAUGAUGACCUGCAUGGAGCAUGCCGGGUGCCCACCGGAUGUAAGGACAUUUGGUGUGGUAGUCGCCGGGUGCAUGUCUGCCGGGGACAUGGGCACAGUGAGGGAGUUGGUGCAGGAGGCAACAAGGCGUGGCCUGCAGUGGGAUCCACCGGCAUUGUCGGAGCUGAUAGGCUUGCUGCAGGCAGGUGGCGGUGCCACACAGGCACAGGAGUUACUGUUGGAGCCACUAUUUGUGCACGAUGCACCGGUGUUGGGGCAGCUGAUUGGAGCAUUGUGCAAGCAAGGGCUAUUGGGACCUGCUACUGUAGUAGAUGAUUAUUAGAAAGCAUUGUAAUGGUCUUUUUGUUUCAAACUUUCACUACAGUUGUUGGUUUUGAAUUUUCAAAAAUCUGAAGAACGGUAUAAGAAUUAUAAAAACAGAGACAGAAAAGGCAAACCAUGGACUAUAACUCCAGGAAUACUCGGAGCUUUCGGCUUUGUAGAUCACUAGAUUGUCGGCUAAAGGUAGGACCCAGUGAGCAAGAAGGGAGGGUAUUUGUAUAGAUGGGCCAGCAAGAGACUGGGCUGUGCAAGAAUCUUCUUCAGGAGUAUGCACAGAAGAUGAAUUAUGCCAUUCCAUCUUAUAUUUGCACCAAAUCAGCCUCAGGCUUAGCUCCUUUCAUAUGCACUGUAGAGAUUGGUGGAAUACAAU